rnacentral:rRNA from 1 species
GUAACGCGUGAGCAACCUGCCCAUUUCAGGGGGAUAGCCCGGAGAAAUCCGGAUUAAGACCGCAUAUGAUCACGUUACCGCAUGGUAGAGUGAUGAAAUAUUCAUAGGAAAUGGAUGGGCUCGCGUGACAUUAGCUAGUUGGUAGGGUAACGGCCUACCAAGGCGACGAUGUCUAGGGGCUCUGAGAGGAGAAUCCCCCACACUGGUACUGAGACACGGACCAGACUCCUACGGGAGGCAGCAGUAAGGAAUAUUGGUCAAUGGGGGAAACCCUGAACCAGCCAUGCCGCGUGCAGGAAGACGGCCCUACGGGUUGUAAACUGCUUUUGCACGGGAAUAACCCUCAUUAUGUAUAAUGAGCUGAAUGUACCGUGAGAAUAAGGAUCGGCUAACUCCGUGCCAGCAGCCGCGGUAAUACGGAGGAUCCGAGCGUUAUCCGGAAUUAUUGGGUUUAAAGGGUGCGCAGGCGGGGAUCUAAGUCAGGGGUGAAAGACGGUGGCUCAACCAUCGCAGUGCCUUUGAUACUGGAUUCCUUGAAUAUACCUGAGGUAGGCGGAAUGUGGCAAGUAGCGGUGAAAUGCAUAGAUAUGCCACAGAACACCGAUUGCGAAGGCAGCUUACCAAAGUAUGAUUGACGCUGAGGCACGAAAGCGUGGGGAUCGAACAGGAUUAGAUACCCUGGUAGUCCACGCCCUAAACGAUGAACACUCGAUGUCGGCGAUAGACAGUCGGCGUCCAAGCGAAAGCGUUAAGUGUUCCACCUGGGGAGUACGCCCGCAAGGGUGAAACUCAAAGGAAUUGACGGGGGCCCGCACAAGCGGAGGAGCAUGUGGUUUAAUUCGAUGAUACGCGAGGAACCUUACCCGGGCUUGAAAGUUACUGAAGAUAGCAGAGAUGUUAUCGUCCUUCGGGACAGGAAACUAGGUGCUGCAUGGCUGUCGUCAGCUCGUGCCGUGAGGUGUUGGGUUAAGUCCCGCAACGAGCG